AGAGUUUGAUCAUGGCUCAGGAUGAACGCUGGCGGCGUGCUUAACACAUGCAAGUCGAACGAAGCAACCAUGAAGCCUAGCGAUUGGUUGACUGAGUGGCGGACGGGUGAGUAACGCGUGGGUAACCUGCCUCAUACAGGGGGACAACAGUUAGAAAUGACUGCUAAUACCGCAUAACCCGCUAGGGCCGCAUGGCCCGGACGGAAAAGGAGCAAUCCGGUAUGAGAUGGACCCCGCGUCUGAUUAGCUGGUUGGUGGGGUAACGGCCUACAAGGCAACGAUCAGUAGCCGAACUGAGAGGUUGACCGGCCACAUUGGGACUGAGACACGGCCCAAACGUCCUACGGGAGCA
rnacentral:rRNA from 1 species